rnacentral:rRNA from 1 species
UGCAAGUCGAACGAGACCUUCGGGUCUAGUGGCGCACGGGUGCGUAACGCGUAGGCAAUCUACCCGAUACAGGGGAAUAACACGGGGAAACUCGUGCUAAUACCGCGUAAUAAAUGAGAAGGCAUCUUCUUAUUUUAAAAGCUUCGGCGGUAUCGGAAGAGCCUGCGUCCUAUUAGCUAGUUGGUAAGGUAACAGCUUACCAAGGCGACGAUAGGUAGGGGAACUGAGAGGUUGAUCCCCCACACUGGUACUGAGAUACGGACCAGACUCCUACGGGAGGCAGCAGUGAGGAAUAUUGGUCAAUGGACGGAAGUCUGAACCAGCCAUGUCGCGUGUCGGAAGACGGCCCUCUGGGUUGUAAACGGCUUUUCUUUGGGAAGAACACGCUCUUGCGAGAGCAACUGACGGUACCAAAGGAAUAAGCACCGGCUAACUACGUGCCAGCAGCCGCGGUAAUACGUAGGGUGCAAGCGUUGUCCGGAUUUAUUGGGUUUAAAGGGUGCGUAGGCGGCUAUUUAAGUCGUGGGUGAAAGCCCGUCGCUUAACGACGGAAUUGCCUGCGAUACUGGAUAGCUUGAGUAUCGUUAAGGUUGGCGGAAUGGGAGGUGUAGCGGUGAAAUGCAUAGAUACCUUCCAGAACACCGAUUGCGUAGGCAGCUGACUAGGCGAUAACUGACGCUGAGGCACGAAAGCGUGGGGAGCGAACAGGAUUAGAUACCCUGGUAGUCCACGCCGUAAACGAUGAUGAC